rnacentral:rRNA from 1 species
GCGUUGCUCGGAAUCACUGGGCGUAAAGCGCACGUAGGCGGCUUACUAAGUCAGGGGUGAAAUCCUGGAGCUCAACUCCAGAACUGCCUUUGAUACUGGUGAGCUUGAGUCCGGAAGAGGUGAGUGGAACUGCGAGUGUAGAGGUGAAAUUCGUAGAUAUUCGCAAGAACACCAGUGGCGAAGGCGGCUCACUGGCCCGGUACUGACGCUGAGGUGCGAAAGCGUGGGGAGCAAACAGG